rnacentral:rRNA from 1 species
AGCGAACGCUGGCGGCAGGCCUAACACAUGCAAGUCGAACGAAGUCUUCGGACUUAGUGGCGGACGGGUGAGUAACACGUGGGAACGUGCCUUUAGGUUCGGAAUAACUCAGGGAAACUUGUGCUAAUACCGAAUGUGCCCUUCGGGGGAAAGAUUUAUCGCCUUUAGAGCGGCCCGCGUCUGAUUAGCUAGUUGGUGAGGUAAAGGCUCACCAAGGCGACGAUCAGUAGCUGGUCUGAGAGGAUGAUCAGCCACAUUGGGACUGAGACACGGCCCAAACUCCUACGGGAGGCAGCAGUGGGGAAUCUUGCGCAAUGGGCGAAAGCCUGACGCAGCCAUGCCGCGUGAAUGAUGAAAGUCUUAGGAUUGUAAAAUUCUUUCACCGGGGACGAUAACGACGGUACCCGGAGAAGAAGCCCCGGCUAACUUCGUGCCAGCAGCCGCCGCCGUAA